rnacentral:misc_RNA from 1 species
GAUGAAGAACGCAACGAAAUGCGAUACUUGGUGUGAAUUGCAGAAUCCCGUGAACCAUCGAGUCUUUGAACGCAAGUUGCGCCCGAAGCCAUUAGGCCGAGGGCACGCCUGCCUGGGCGUCACACGUCGUUGCCCCCCCAUCUACUCCUUCGGGAUUGCGGGGGGCGGAUGAUGGCCUCCCGUGCGCCUCGUCGCGCGGUUGGCAUAAAUGCCAAGUCCUCGGCGACGCACGCCACGACAAUCGGUGGUUGCGAAACCUCGGUUGCCCGUCGUGUGCGGUCGUCGCGCAUCGAGGGCUCGAAAAAAUUGUCGGGCUCCGGCUCGGCUUUCAACGCGACCCCAGGUCAGGCGGGGUUACCCGCUGAAUUUAAGCAUAUCAAUAAGCGGAGGA